GCCGUCCCGAGGGCAGGGAUGCAGCCCGUGUGCACGAGUGCCAGGCUGCGGUGCCAUGUCCCCACCAUGGAGGACAGAGCGGCCCUUCUUGGGGACAGCAGGCGGGUGAGGUGCCUCAGAGGUGCUGCACCUGGCCCUGGAGGGGCUUUGGGGGACAGGGUCGCAGCGUGGCCUCGGGACGCAGGAGGGAGCCCAGUGUCCUAGCCACCUGGGGUCUGUGAAGUUGGCCCCGUGGAAUUCUGCUUGGGGUCUGGGAAUGCUCCCUGGCCUCUAGGCAGGCGCCUGUGUUGCCAGGGCCCCCAUGGAGCAGCGAGCGCUUCCCAGGACGGGCCUGGUCUGUAGCCCGGAGGCAGGUGCUGUGCUGUAGCUCGCUGGUACCCGGUACCCGGCUCUGAGCUGGACCCCGGCACCGCAGCCCAGCAGGUGGCACUGUCCAUGCCCACUUCCACCCCAGCCCCGGCCUCACCAUUCCUUGGUUGGGCAAAUCGCUGGUGAGCAUCACGGGCCACACAGGGGAAUGCUGUCAGAAUUGUGGCGGAACCUGUUGCACCAACCACGGCCUCCCUAUUCACUGUGCAGCGUGGAUGCACACAAAGGCCGUCGCACCAGCCUCUCAGCGAAGGACUCUGAGCAGACCAACCCGUGUCUCCUCCUCCUUGGGCCUCUGAGGCCACUGGCUCCAGGUCAGGACACUUCAGAGUGGGCUGGGCGGGCCUGUACACAGAGCCACCCCAGGGCUGUCCAGGGAGCACUGGGCACCGCCCCUGCUGGACUCUGAGGGCCGUGCAGCGGGCAGGUGUGAGGUUUAGCCUUGCGCACAGGUGCUGCCCAGAGCUGCUCUCCAAGGCCACGCAUGGGGUCAUGGUUUUAGACCGGGGCGGUGCUGGCCGAGGUCCUGGGGCUGCCGUUGGUGCUGUUGGUGCUGCUGUGGAGCCGUCUUCCCCGGUUGUGCUGCCCAGCAGUCUGUCCCAGAGCCCACCAAGUUUAUGAGGCACCUGAGGAGGACAGGCCAACUGGGUGGACAGGAGGGGGCGCCCCCGCUCUACUGUCCCCUGGGCUGGCAUAGGGGCCCUGGCUGAGCCAGAGCUCAGGGCCUACGGGCCGCUGGAUGGAGCUGCAGCCCCAGCCACCCGCUGUGCAGUUAGG
rnacentral:lncRNA from 1 species